GUCGGUCAGCACGAUGCGCACGCCGGAAUUCAGGAAGGCGAGUUCGCGCAGGCGAUGCUC
rnacentral:sRNA from 1 species